rnacentral:tRNA from 1 species
GGGGUUGUGGCUCAGUGGCAGAGUGCUUGCCUGGCAAUGUAUGAGGCACUGAGUUUGAUUCUCAGUACCGCA